rnacentral:rRNA from 1 species
UACGGAGGGAGCUAGCGUUGUUCGGAAUUACUGGGCGUAAAGCGCACGUAGGCGGCUACUCAAGUCAGAGGUGAAAGCCCAGGGCUCAACCCUGGAACUGCCUUUGAAACUAGGUAGCUAGAAUCUUGGAGAGGCCAGUGGAAUUCCGAGUGUAGAGGUGAAAUUCGUAGAUAUUCGGAAGAACACCAGUGGCGAAGGCGACUGACUGGACAAGUAUUGACGCUGAGGUGCGAAAGCGUGGGGAGCAAACAGG